GGCGAACGCUGGCGGCGUGCUUAACACAUGCAAGUCGAACGGAAAGGCCCUGCUUUUGUGGGGUGCUCGGGUGGCGAACGGGUGAGUAACACGUGAGUAACCUGCCCUUGACUUUGGGAUAACUUCAGGAAACUGGGGCUAAUACCGGAUAGGAGCUCCUGCUGCAUGGUGGGGGUUGGAAAGUUUCGGCGGUUGGGGAUGGACCCGCGGCUUAUCAGCUUGUUGGUGGGGUAGUGGCUUACCAAGGUUUGGACGGGUAGCCGGCCUGUGAGGGUGACCGGCCACAUAGGGACGGAGAUACGGACCAGACUACUACGGGAGGGAAGAGUGGGGAAUAUUGCAUAAGGGGCGGAAGCAUGAUGGAGGACGCCGCGUGCGGGAUGACGGCCUUCGCGUUGUAAACCGCUUUCGCCUGUGACGAAGCGUGAGUGACGGUAAUGGGUAAAGAAGCACCGGCUAACUACGUG
rnacentral:rRNA from 1 species